rnacentral:sRNA from 1 species
UAACAUUUAGCGGCCAAAGCUCAGUUUUCGGACUGAGUGAGAUAAUGUGAAGAACAUUGUUGUAUAUCCGGGGAGGCGGUUAUUGGAAUGCCGCCAACCAUCGCCUCUCCGGUUUGCUAGG